rnacentral:rRNA from 1 species
UACGGGGGGGGCAAGCGUUGUUCGGAAUUACUGGGCGUAAAGGGCGUGUAGGUGGCCAACUAAGUCCGACGUGAAAUCCCCAGGCUUAACCUGGGAACUGCGUCGGAUACUGGAUGGCUUGAAUUCGGGAGAGGGAUGCAGAAUUCCAGGUGUAGCGGUGAAAUGCGUAGAUAUCUGGAGGAAUACCGGUGGCGAAGGCGGCAUCCUGGACCGACAUUGACGCUGAGGAGCGAAAGCUAGGGGAGCAAAGCGGGG